rnacentral:tRNA from 1 species
AGGGCUAUAGCUCAGUUAGGUAGAGCGCCUCGUUUACACUCUACGGUUCGAGUCCGUAUAGCCCUA